rnacentral:rRNA from 1 species
UACGUAGGGGGCUAGCGUUGUCCGGAAUCAUUGGGCGUAAAGCGCGUGUAGGCGGCCCGGUAAGUCCGCUGUGAAAGUCGGGGGCUCAACCCUCGGAUGCCGGUGGAUACUGUCGGGCUCGAGUACGGAAGAGGCGAGUGGAAUUCCUGGUGUAGCGGUGAAAUGCGCAGAUAUCAGGAGGAACACCGAUGCGAAGGCAGCUCGCUGGGACGUGACUGACGCUGAGACGCGAAAGCGUGGGAGCAAACAGG